GCNNGNUACGAUUCGCCCUUGAGUUUGAUCAUGGCUCAGGACGAACGUUGGCGACGUGCCUAACACAUGCAAGUCGAGCGAAGUGCUUAUGAUGAAUUCUUCGGAAUGAUUCAUAAACCACUUAGCGGCGGAUGGGUGAGUAACGCGUGAGGAACCUGCCUAGUACAAGGGGAUAGCCUCGGGAAACCGGGAUUAAUACCCUAUGACACUUAAGAUCCGCAUGGAUUUUAAGUCAAAGCGCUUUAGCGGUAUUAGAUGGCCUCGCGUCCCAUUAGCUAGUUGGUAAGGUAAAAGCUUACCAAGGCGACGAUGGGUAGCCGGCUUGAGAGAGUGAACGGCCACACUGGAACUGAGACACGGUCCAGACUCCUACGGGAGGCAGCAGUGGGGAAUCUUGCACAAUGGAGGGAACUCUGAUGCAGCGGCGUCGCGUGAACGAUGAAGGCUUUCGAGUCGUAAAGUUCUGUCCUAUGGGACGAUAAUGACGGUACCAUAGGAGGAAGCCCCGGCUAACUACGUGCCAGCAGCCGCGGUAAUACGUAGGGGGCGAACGUUGUCCGGAAUUAUUGGGCGUAAAGGGUACGCAGGCGGCCAAAUAAGUCAGAUGUGAAAUCCCAAGGCUUAACCUUGGUAAGCAUUUGAAACUGUAUGGCUUGAGUUAAGGAGAGGAAAGUGGAAUUCCUGGUGUAGCGGUGAAAUGCGUAGAUAUCAGGAGGAAUACCAGUGGCGAAGGCGACUUUCUGGACUUAAACUGACGCUGAGGUACGAAAGCGUGGGGAGCAAACAGGAUUAGAUACCCUGGUAGUCCACGCCGUAAACGAUGAGUGCUAGGUGUCGGGUGUCAAGCUCG
rnacentral:rRNA from 1 species